rnacentral:lncRNA from 1 species
AUGAGCACAUGCCUCACAUACAGCCCAUCAGUAUCUCACAUUUCAGCCAGCCCUGGGAAUCUGUUUAGAGUUUGCCCUGUGAUCCAAACCAGGAUUCAGGAGAGAGAUGGAAACCCCUACACAGCCCAUUGGAUUCAAAACCACAGAAAACAGACACAAAACAAGGAAGACAUGGGAUUUAGAAAACAAUGGGUCCAACCCUAAAAGAAAAUUAUAGGAAGUACCAGGGUGUCAUCUAUAUCCAAGGCUAGAAAAGGACAAGGCUAGAGAGAAGCAAAAACUGGGAACUCUUUCUGCUUCCCAAAGGGUGGGAUUCUUGAAAAAGGGGGGUUUAUUAGAAUACCUAAUUGGAUGGUGCUUAAAAAAUUUAGGCUUACUGCUUACAAGAAAUUGUAAACAUAAAAUAUAGAUAAUUAGAAACUGUAGGGACACCAUAAGGUUGUACAAGAAAGGAAGUAAAACCAUAGAAUACUACCUGGCUCUGCAGCAGGUAAAUGUAAUCAUCAUCAUAAUGUUAUUUACUCAUCGAAAGAUAAUGACAUAAGAAUUCUGAGAUGAUGAGGAAAAGAAAGGUGGAGGUAGAAGUGCCAAUGAGCUAAUCUUCUUUUAGCACAUUGCAUGGUAAAUAAUAAUGUCUAUAACAAAUGCAUUGUGAGUAUUGUGGAGUUGUUGAUCAAAGGAUAAAAAAUUUCAGUGAGGAGGAAUAAGUUCAGGAGAUCUAUUUUACAACAUGGUGACUAUAGCUAAGAAUAAGAUAUUGUAUACCUGGAAAUUGCUAAGAGAGUAAAUUUCAAGUGUUCUCACCAGAAAAAAAUGGUAAGAAUGCAAGGUAAUAAACAUGUUUAUUAGCCUGAUUUAGCCAUUCCACUAUGUAUGCAUGUAUCAAGACAUAAUGUAUAUUAUACAUACAAUUUUAUUUUUCUAUUAAAGAAGUAAAUAACAAUAAAAUGGAAGUAUAAACUUAUUGGAAUAUGGAGGCAAAUACCAAAAAAUAACUGAAAUAAGUAAAAUUUGUUUCCUCUGAGGAGUAGGACUGAGAAUUGGGGAGUGCCAUGAAACAUACAUUUGUUCAUUUAAAAUGAUGUAUCUAUUUCCUGUGUGCACAGCAGUGCUCUGGGCAUCUGACCAAGAUAGUCAUAAUCUCUACCCUUAUAGGUUUUACCUUCUAGUGGUGGACACAGGCCAGCCAAUAGACAAGUAGAUAAUUUCAGAUAGAUAGCUGCAAUAAAGACACAGAAUAAAGCCAUAGAAUGAUGGACAGCAGUGGGUUUUAUUUGAAUAAGGGUGAUUAGAGAAGACCUGUCUUCUAGAAGCUAACACUGGAACCUAAAGGCAUCAAGGGAAUGAGCCAAGGAAGUUCUGGAAGAAAACUUUCUGGACAAAGAAGCGGGCUUCUAUGUGUGAGGAAGAGCCAGGAGGUCAGCAAGGCUGACCCUGACAGCCGGGGAGUAAGGCAAGAGAUUAAUCUGGAGGAGUAGAUAGGGGCCAUAUCUUGGAGGUCUUGUGGGCUGCUGUGUGGAGAUUGGAUCCUAUUUCCUGUAAGUAAGAGAAAGCGACAUAGCAACACAUCUGUUUUAUAUUUUUAAAACUGCCUCUGAUGGCUGUGUGCAGAAUGGUCUGUAGUAGGGCAUGAAGACCAGUGGAGUGGGGUAUCUCUUGUUCAAGAAAGAGAGGAGAAUGACUUGAACCAUUGAAGUAGCAGAGAAGGUGGAGGAAAGGUCAGAUUCCUCUUAUAGUAGUUGGCUGAUAGGACUUGCUAAUGGACUGAAUGUCAGAUGGGAAGGAAAGAGAGGACUAGAGAAUGAUUCCAAGGUUUCUGGAAUCAUUUACUGAGGUGGAAAAGACUAAGGGAGCAGUGUUUCUCAUGAGGAAAUCAAGAGUUUAGUUUCAGACAAGUGUGCUUGAAAUGUCUGAUUCAAGAGCUAUUUUUCUGCAUCAUCAUUUUGGAACAAUUUGUUAUUUUAACCACUAGUUUGCUAUAUAUUUGAAUUAUAUUCUAGGGAAAAGAAAGUGAGAAAAGCUUUCAAGAAAGUACACACUUGCUCUCUCUAUCUCAAGGGAAGUAAUAAUAUUCCCAUUGGGUGGACAGUUUCCCAAAUAAACUCCAAGGCCAUGGUGUCUCCUGCUAAUGCCCACAGGAGGUCUUACUUACAGAGAAGAACAAAUUAUUGGGCCACUUGCUGAGGGUGCAAAUGAGUUUCCAGAUGCCUCCCUGCAGCCCUCUGGAUCAUCCAGAGAAAAGGUGGGCCCUAUGGAGAAUUCUUUUACAAGCCCGGAUGGUGUUUUCCCUGGGAA